rnacentral:precursor_RNA from 14 species
CUUUAUCUACUUGAUGAACACAACGUCGUCAGUUGCAAAUAUCGUGGUGGCAUUACAUGUUGUCUUGCCAUCCGUCAUUUGUGGUUGACGAUGUAUCAUGUACAUCAGAAGAAGUUCU